GACGAACGCUGGCGGCGUGCUUAACACAUGCAAGUCGAACGGAAAGGCCCUGCUUUUGUGGGGUGCUCGAGUGGCGAACGGGUGAGUAACACGUGAGUAACCUGCCCUUAACUUUGGGAUAACUUCAGGAAACUGGAGCUAAUACCGGAUAGGAGCUCCUGCUGCAUGGUGGGGGUUGGAAAGUUUCGGCGGUUGGGGAUGGACUCGCGGCUUAUCAGCUUGUUGGUGGGGUAGUGGCUUACCAAGGCUUUGACGGGUAGCCGGCCUGAGAGGGUGACCGGCCACAUUGGGACUGAGAUACGGCCCAGACUCCUACGGGAGGCAGCAGUGGGGAAUAUUGCACAAUGGGCGGAAGCCUGAUGCAGCAACGCCGCGUGCGGGAUGACGGCCUUCGGGUUGUAAACCGCUUUCGCCUGUGACGAAGCGUGAGUGACGGUAAUGGGUAAAGAAGCACCGGCUAACUACGUG
rnacentral:rRNA from 1 species